GACUUGAUAGUGAAUGGUUCACACCCACUUUGUUUGUAAACACCAAAAUCAGUUGAACAGUGGGAGUCCCCGGUUCGACUCCGGGUCAGGUCG